rnacentral:lncRNA from 13 species
ACAAGCUCCUUUAACUCCCAGAAGUUUCUUAUCAUCCACCUUUUAAAGCCUACUUCAGAUAAUGGAACACAGUCCUUUUCCAUCAGGGCUUGUUCCGUUACUGAUGAGUCCUUUUCCAUCAGGGCUUGUUCGGUUGCUGAUGGGUUCUGAUUUUGAGUAUACUCGGCCUUCUUAGGCUGUUUUUUUCCCUUCAUUGUAGAUGAACUGCCUUUCUAAUUAGUUUUCUGAGUCGACGUCCGACUUAUUGAUUCCUAGUGUUGGGAUCCGAGCAACCCACUGUGGCAGCCUAAAUAGCAGCGGAAGAAACAAAGAAGUUCAAGUUCUCUGGAGUAAGAUGCUCUCAAAUGCCUGAGAACACCUAUCUCCUAACUCGUCUUCCUGCUUUGAGUGUCCCUCCAAGGAUAAAGCAACUGGCACAGUCUCCGACAAUAUUUUGAGCUCUUAUCUCCAAGUUGAGGCUGUGCCAGAUGUUGUGGACACAGCCCAGAGGAGAGCUGGUGGCCUCACUGCCCUAAACCUGCAGGGAUGCAAGGUGUUCAGGCCGUGCAAAAUAAUGACAGCUGCAUGGAGACCGGAGAGAGCACCUAGAGGCCUGGAAGGCUUCCAAAAGAAAGAGCUAUUACAGCAAACCACUGUACAGAUGCUGUACUCUACGGAGGCACCAGCACUCUAA